GGGGGUGUUCUGGUUUUGACAUCAGAUUAAUUGGUCGGCAAGCGUGCCGAGCGUUGGGAGCCGCGCUCGUUAAUCAAUGACUUUCAGCCAUUAAUUGGCAACACUAAUGUUAGACUCGCUGCGUAAUCAGCCAAGCUGACACGCUUAAUCCUUGAGGCACAAGGUGCCUCGGACGAGUAUCCCGCCAGGUGUUUUCCGUCUUCUUGGAUCUGGCAUAUGGGGUAUUAUCUAAAGAAGAAUGCGGGGGGUGACUCCUUUAAGCCUUCUUAAGUUUUAAAGGAUAAGCUGCGGAAUUGCCCGCUUCGGGGCAGUCUUCAGACGAAAAACAAACCGAAGAUACGCACGUAGAAAACCGGUUGGUGGUCUGGUUGGACAGCGGUUCGACUCCGCUCACCUCCACUA
rnacentral:tmRNA from 1 species